rnacentral:rRNA from 1 species
ACUAAGCGUACACGGUGGAUGCCCUGGCAGUCAGAGGCGAUGAAGGACGUGCUAAUCUGCGAUAAGCGCCGGUAAGGUGAUAUGAACCGUUAUAACCGGCGAUUUCCGAAUGGGGAAACCCAGUGUGAUUCGUCACACUAUCAUUAACUGAAUCCAUAGGUUAAUGAGGCGAACCGGGGGAACUGAAACAUCUAAGUACCCCGAGGAAAAGAAAUCAACCGAGAUUCCCCCAGUAGCGGCGAGCGAACGGGGAGGAGCCCAGAGCCUGAAUCAGCAUGUGUGUUAGUGGAAGCGUCUGGAAAGGCGCGCGAUACAGGGUGACAGCCCCGUACACAAAAGCGCAUGUGCUGUGAGCUCGAUGAGUAGGGCGGGACACGUGGUAUCCUGUCUGAAUAUGGGGGGACCAUCCUCCAAGGCUAAAUACUCCUGACUGACCGAUAGUGAACCAGUACCGUGAGGGAAAGGCGAAAAGAACCCCGGCGAGGGGAGUGAAAAAGAACCUGAAACCGUGUACGUACAAGCAGUGGGAGCACAGGUUUACCUGUGUGACUGCGUACCUUUUGUAUAAUGGGUCAGCGACUUAUAUUCUGUAGCAAGGUUAACCGAAUAGGGGAGCCGGAGGGAAACCGAGUCUUAAUUGGGCGUUAAGUUGCAGGGUAUAGACCCGAAACCCGGUGAUCUAGCCAUGGGCAGGUUGAAGGUUGGGUAACACUAACUGGAGGACCGAACCGACUAAUGUUGAAAAAUUAGCGGAUGACCUGUGGCUGGGGGUGAAAGGCCAAUCAAACCGGGAGAUAGCUGGUUCUCCCCGAAAGCUAUUUAGGUAGCGCCUCGUGAAUUCAUCUCCGGGGGUAGAGCACUGUUUCGGCUAGGGGGCCAUCCCGGCUUACCAACCCGAUGCAAACUGCGAAUACCGGAGAAUGUUAUCACGGGAGACACACGGCGGGUGCUAACGUCCGUCGUGAAGAGGGAAACAACCCAGACCGCCAGCUAAGGUCCCAAAGUCAUGGUUAAGUGGGAAACGAUGUGGGAAGGCCCAGACAGCCAGGAUGUUGGCUUAGAAGCAGCCAUCAUUUAAAGAAAGCGUAAUAGCUCACUGGUCGAGUCGGCCUGCGCGGAAGAUGUAACGGGGCUAAACCAUGCACCGAAGCUGCGGCAGCGAACGUAUCACCCAAGACAACUUUGCGGAGUUGACGAUUGACGGAGCGAAGCGACGUCAAAGCGUAUUCAAAGUCGAGUUGGCUUAGGGAUACGUUCGUUGGGUAGGGGAGCGUUCUGUAAGCCUGUGAAGGUGGCCUGUGAGGGUUGCUGGAGGUAUCAGAAGUGCGAAUGCUGACAUAAGUAACGAUAAAGCGGGUGAAAAGCCCGCUCGCCGGAAGACCAAGGGUUCCUGUCCAACGUUAAUCGGGGCAGGGUGAGUCGACCCCUAAGGCGAGGCCGAAAGGCGUAGUCGAUGGGAAACGGGUUAAUAUUCCCGUACUUGGUGUUACUGCGAAGGGGGGACGGAGAAGGCUAUGUUGGCCGGGCGACGGUUGUCCCGGUUUAAGCGUGUAGGUGUGUGUUCCAGGUAAAUCCGGUUCACUUUAACACUGAGGCGUGACGACGAGGCACUACGGUGCUGAAGCAACAAAUGCCCUGCUUCCAGGAAAAGCCUCUAAGCAUCAGGUAACAUCAAAUCGUACCCCAAACCGACACAGGUGGUCAGGUAGAGAAUACCAAGGCGCUUGAGAGAACUCGGGUGAAGGAACUAGGCAAAAUGGUGCCGUAACUUCGGGAGAAGGCACGCUGACACGUAGGUGAAGUGAUUUACUCAUGGAGCUGAAGUCAGUCGAAGAUACCAGCUGGCUGCAACUGUUUAUUAAAAACACAGCACUGUGCAAACACGAAAGUGGACGUAUACGGUGUGACGCCUGCCCGGUGCCGGAAGGUUAAUUGAUGGGGUCAGCGCAAGCGAAGCUCCUGAUCGAAGCCCCGGUAAACGGCGGCCGUAACUAUAACGGUCCUAAGGUAGCGAAAUUCCUUGUCGGGUAAGUUCCGACCUGCACGAAUGGCGUAAUGAUGGCCAGGCUGUCUCCACCCGAGACUCAGUGAAAUUGAACUCGCUGUGAAGAUGCAGUGUACCCGCGGCAAGACGGAAAGACCCCGUGAACCUUUACUAUAGCUUGACACUGAACAUUGAGCCUUGAUGUGUAGGAUAGGUGGGAGGCUUUGAAGUGUGGACGCCAGUCUGCGUGGAGCCGACCUUGAAAUACCACCCUUUAAUGUUUGAUGUUCUAACGUGGACCCGUAAUCCGGGUUGCGGACAGUGUCUGGUGGGUAGUUUGACUGGGGCGGUCUCCUCCUAAAGAGUAACGGAGGAGCACGAAGGUUGGCUAAUCCUGGUCGGACAUCAGGAGGUUAGUGCAAUGGCAUAAGCCAGCUUGACUGCGAGCGUGACGGCGCGAGCAGGUGCGAAAGCAGGUCAUAGUGAUCCGGUGGUUCUGAAUGGAAGGGCCAUCGCUCAACGGAUAAAAGGUACUCCGGGGAUAACAGGCUGAUACCGCCCAAGAGUUCAUAUCGACGGCGGUGUUUGGCACCUCGAUGUCGGCUCAUCACAUCCUGGGGCUGAAGUAGGUCCCAAGGGUAUGGCUGUUCGCCAUUUAAAGUGGUACGCGAGCUGGGUUUAGAACGUCGUGAGACAGUUCGGUCCCUAUCUGCCGUGGGCGCUGGAGAACUGAGGGGGGCUGCUCCUAGUACGAGAGGACCGGAGUGGACGCAUCACUGGUGUUCGGGUUGUCAUGCCAAUGGCACUGCCCGGUAGCUAAAUGCGGAAGAGAUAAGUGCUGAAAGCAUCUAAGCACGAAACUUGCCCCGAGAUGAGUUCUCCCUGAGACUUUAGGUCUCCUGAAGGAACGUUGAAGACGACGACGUUGAUAGGCCGGGUGUGUAAGCGCAGCGAUGCGUUGAGCUAACCGGUACUAAUGAACCGUGAGGCUUAACC